UACGUAGGGACCAAGCGUUGUUCGGAUUUACUGGGCGUAAAGGGCGCGUAGGCGGCAAUUCAAGUCAGCUGUGAAAUCUCCGGGCUUAACUCGGAACGGUCAGCUGAUACUGCUUUGCUAGAGUGCAGAAGGGGCAAUCGGAAUUCUUGGUGUAGCGGUGAAAUGCGUAGAUAUCAAGAGGAACACCUGAGGUGAAGACGGGUUGCUGGGCUGACACUGACGCUGAGGCGCGAAAGCGUGGGGAGCAAACAGG
rnacentral:rRNA from 1 species